rnacentral:lncRNA from 1 species
CACUUACCUGCGAGGGAGCCGGGCCUCUGCAGGGUGGCGGUGGCGUACAGCUCCUGGGAGUGCUUGCUGUACUGCUCGGCAGCGUGAACCAGCCGCUUGGUGGGCGACAGAGUGGCGUCCUGUAAAUCAGCAGCAUGGAGAAGAUUAGAAAAAAAACAGAGGAGGAUGAUGGACAUGCCUACAACUGGGAGCCAACCCACAGUGAAACCUCAGAUGGGAUGGAGAGCAGAAGGCUUUGCCAGGAAUGAGAGAAGACAAAUGGGAUUUUCCUUCACAGUCUGGAAACCCAGGCCCUGGAAGGCAUGGCAGAGUUAGAAGAGUCAUCCAUUUGGAGAGUGAGGGAAGCAGAGAGGCUUCUUCUGAAGCUCUUUUCAUUGUAUUACCCACCCUUCUUACUGGCAGUUGUGUUACAGACAGUGCACACAAAGCAAACCUACUCAGUGUUGCAUGGCUACCUCAUUCUUCAUCCUGCCACCUUGGGACUUCCUUGAAAGUGGUCCAAAACAAAGGAAAAAAAAAACAAACUCUCAUGGAUUACUCUGUGACACUCAAUAUUCAGUUCCAG